rnacentral:rRNA from 1 species
GACAGAGGGUGCAAACGUUGCUCGGAAUUACUGGGCGUAAAGCGCGCGCAGGCGGUCCUUUAAGUCUGAUGUGAAAGCCCACGGCUCAACCGUGGAGGGUCAUUGGAAACUGGGGGACUUGAGUGCAGAAGAGGAAAGCGGAAUUCCACGUGUAGCGGUGAAAUGCGUAGAGAUGUGGAGGAACACCAGUGGCGAAGGCGGCUUUCUGGUCUGUAACUGACGCUGAGGCGCGAAAGCGUGGGGAGCAAACAGG